AGCCAGUGAUGACAGACUAACUUUUCUGACACCUCGUAUGAGAGCUGCGGUUCAGCUCCUGAUUCCAAUGCUGAUCUGAGGCUC